GACGAACGCUGGCGGCGUGCUUAACACAUGCAAGUCGAACGGAAAGGCCCUGCUUGCAGGGUGCUCGAGUGGCGAACGGGUGAGUAACACGUGGGUGAUCCGCCCCUUACUUUGGGAUAAGCCUGGGAAACUGGGUCUAAUACUGGAUAGGACCAUGCUGUAGGUGGUGUGGUGGAAAGAUUAGUUUCGGUAAGGGAUGAGCUCGCGGCCUAUCAGCUUGUUGGUGGGGUAAUGGCCUACCAAGGCGUCGACGGGUAGCCGGCCUGAGAGGGUGGACGGCCACAUUGGGACUGAGAUACGGCCCAGACUCCUACGGGAGGCAGCAGUGGGGAAUAUUGCACAAUGGGCGCAAGCCGGAUGCAGCGACGCCGCGUGGGGGAUGACGGCCUUCGGGUUGUAAACUCCUUUCAGCCAUGACGAAGCCCUUGUGGUGACGGUAGUGGUAGAAGAAGCACCGGCUAACUACGUG
rnacentral:rRNA from 1 species